UACGUAGGGUGCGAGCGUUAAUCGGAAUUACUGGGCGUAAAGCGUGCGCAGGCGGUUUUGUAAGCCAGAUGUGAAAUCCCCGGGCUUAACCUGGGAAUGGCAUUUGGGGACUGCAAGGCUGGAGUGCGGCAGAGGAGACUGGAAUUCCUGGUGUAGCAGUGAAAAUGCGUAGAUAUCAGGAGGAAUACCGAUGGCGAAGGCAGGUCUCUGGGCUGACACUGACGCUCAUGCACGAAAGCGUGGGGAG
rnacentral:rRNA from 1 species